AGAGUUUGAUGAUGGCUCAGAACGAACGCUGGCGGCGUGCCUAACACAUGCAAGUCGAACGAGAAAACGGACUUCGGUCUGUUAGUACAGUGGCAGACGGGUGAGUAACACGUGGGCAACCUACCCGGAGGUGGGGGAUAACCCUUCGAAAGGAGGGCUAAUACCGCAUUGUAUCUCGGGGCUUCGGCCUUCGAGAUUAAAGCUAGCCUCUACAUGUAAGCUAGCGCCACCGGAGGGGCCCGCGGCCCAUUAGUUUGUUGGUGAGGUAACGGCUCACCAAGGCGACGAUGGGUAGCCGGCCUGAGAGGGCGAUCGGCCACACUGGAACUGAGACACGGUCCAGACUCCUACGGGAGGCAGCAGUGAGGAAUUUUGCGCAAUGGGGGAAACCCUGACGCAGUGACGCCGCGUGGAGGACGAAGGCCUUCGGGUCGUAAACUCCUGUCAAGUGGGACGAAAGCCGUGGGGAUGAAUAAGCCUUACGGUUGACGGUACCACUGAAGGAAGCCCCGGCUAACUCCGUGCCAGCAGCCGCGGUAAUACGGAGGGGGCUAGCGUUGUUCGGAAUUAUUGGGCGUAAAGGGCGCGUAGGCGGCCUGGCAAGUCAGACGUGAAA
rnacentral:rRNA from 1 species